rnacentral:rRNA from 1 species
AGCUACGGUCAUAGAAUCAUGAACACAACGCAUCCCGUCCGCUCUGCGCUAUUUAAGCAUGAUAUCCGGAUACUGUAGUUU